UACAGAGGCCUCGAGCGUUAGGCGGAAUCACUGGGCUUAAAGCGUGUGUAGGCGGAUCGUUAAGUGCCUUGUGAAAUCCCACGGCUUAACCGUGGAACUGCUGGGCAUACUGGCGGUCUUGAGCCACUUAGGGGCGACCGGAACAAACGGUGGAGCGGUGAAAUGCGUAGAGAUCGUGUGGAACGCCGAAGGUGAAAGCAGGUCGCUAGGAGUGUGCUGACGCUGAGACACGAAAGCCAGGGGAGCAAACGGG
rnacentral:rRNA from 1 species